AGCAGCCGCGGUAAUUCCAGCUCCAAUAGCGUAUAUUAAAGUUGUUGUAGUUAAAAAGCUCGUAGUUGAAUUUCGGGGUCAGUAGGUUGGUCGUGCCACUGGUAUGUACUGGUCUCACUGAUUCCUCCUUCCUGAUGAGCCGUAAUGCCAUUAAUUUGGUGUUGCGGGGAAUCUGGACUGUUACUUUGAAAAAAUUAGAGUGUUUAAAGCAGGCUAACGCUUGAAUACAUUAGCAUGGAAUAAUGGAAUAGGACGUUCGAUCCUAUUUUGUUGGUUUCUAGGUUUGACGUAAUGAUUAAUAGGGAUAGUUGGGGGCAUUAGUAUUCAAUUGUCAGAGGUGAAAUUCUUGGAUUUAUUGAAGACUAACUACUGCGAAAGCAUUUGCCAAGGAUGUUUUCAUUAAUCAAGAACGAAAGUUAGGGGAUCGAAGACGAUCAGAUACCGUCGUAGUCUUAACCAUAAACUAUGCCGACUAGGGAUCGGAUGAUGUUAAUUUUUUAAUGACUCAUUCGGCGCCUUA
rnacentral:rRNA from 1 species